rnacentral:tRNA from 3 species
GGCUCUGUGGCGCAAUGGAUAGCGCAUUGGACUUCUAAUUCAAAGGUUGUGGGUUCGAGUCCCACCGGAGUCG